GGUUGAAAGUGUACCGACCAGGGUACACAAUUAGCACCAUCCACCAGCCAAACGCUGGUAAAAUAUGUAUGUGGCUGGUAGAUUUGAUUCACCCACCAGCCUAAAAAGCAAUUGUAACUAAAUGAGUGG